rnacentral:rRNA from 1 species
CGGACAGAUGGGAGCUUGCUCCCUGAUGUUAGCGGCGGACGGGUGAGUAACACGUGGGUAACCUGCCUGUAAGACUGGGAUAACUCCGGGAAACCGGGGCUAAUACCGGAUGGUUGUUUGAACCGCAUGGUUCAGACAUAAAAGGUGGCUUCGGCUACCACUUACAGAUGGACCCGCGGCGCAUUAGCUAGUUGGUGAGGUAACGGCUCACCAAGGCGACGAUGCGUAGCCGACCUGAGAGGGUGAUCGGCCACACUGGGACUGAGACACGGCCCAGACUCCUACGGGAGGCAGCAGUAGGGAAUCUUCCGCAAUGGACGAAAGUCUGACGGAGCAACGCCGCGUGAGUGAUGAAGGUUUUCGGAUCGUAAAGCUCUGUUGUUAGGGAAGAACAAGUGCCGUUCAAAUAGGGCGGCACCUUGACGGUACCUAACCAGAAAGCCACGGCUAACUACGUGCCAGCAGCCGCGGUAAUACGUAGGUGGCAAGCGUUGUCCGGAAUUAUUGGGCGUAAAGGGCUCGCAGGCGGUUUCUUAAGUCUGAUGUGAAAGCCCCCGGCUCAACCGGGGAGGGUCAUUGGAAACUGGGGAACUUGAGUGCAGAAGAGGAGAGUGGAAUUCCACGUGUAGCGGUGAAAUGCGUAGAGAUGUGGAGGAACACCAGUGGCGAAGGCGACUCUCUGGUCUGUAACUGACGCUGAGGAGCGAAAGCGUGGGGAGCGAACAGGAUUAGAUACCCUGGUAGUCCACGCCGUAAACGAUGAGUGCUAAGUGUUAGGGGGUUUCCGCCCCUUAGUGCUGCAGCUAACGCAUUAAGCACUCCGCCUGGGGAAUACGGUCGCAGAAUGGAACUCCAAGGAAUUGACGGGGGCCC